UAGGGAAUCUUCCGCAAUAGACGCAAGUCUGACGGAGCAACGCCGCGUGAGUGAAGAAGGAUUUCGGUUCGUAAAACUCUGUUGUUAGAGAAGAACAGCGCAUAGAGUAACUGUUAUGCGUGUGACGGUAUCUAACCAGAAAGCCACGGCUAACUACGUGCCAGCAGCCGCGGUAAUACGUAGGUCCCGAGCGUUGUCCGGAUUUAUUGGGCGUAAAGCGAGCGCAGGCGGUUAGAUAAGUCUGAAGUUAAAGGCAGUGGCUCAACCAUUGUAGGCUUUGGAAACUGUUUAACUUGAGUGCAGAAGGGGAGAGUGGAAUUCCAUGUGUAGCGGUGAAAUGCGUAGAUAUAUGGAGGAACACCGGUGGCGAAAGCGGCUCUCUGGUCUGUAACUGACGCUGAGGCUCGAAAGCGUGGGGAGCGAACAGG
rnacentral:rRNA from 1 species